UUUCCGUAGGUGAACCUGCGGAAGGAUCAUUAUUGUAUAACCGAGGUGCGAGGGCUGUCGCUGACCCGAAAGGUCGUGCACGCCCGAGUGCCCUCACACACAUCCAUCUCACCCCUAUGUGCACCACCGCGCGGGUCGCCCUUUGGCUUGUUCGGAGGGGGGCUUACGUUUUCACACAAACUUUGUAUGCAGUGUAGAAUGUAUUUUUUGUUUUUGCGAUCACGCAAUCAAUACAACUUUCAACAACGGAUCUCUUGGCUCUC
rnacentral:misc_RNA from 1 species